rnacentral:rRNA from 1 species
GACGAACGCUGGCGGCGUGCUUAACACAUGCAAGUCGAACGGAAAGGCCCUGCUUGCAGGGUACUCGAGUGGCGAACGGGUGAGUAACACGUGGGUGAUCUGCCCUGCACUUCGGGAUAAGCCUGGGAAACUGGGUCUAAUACCGGAUAGGAGCCAUUUUUAGUGUGAUGGUUGGAAAGUUUUUUCGGUGUAGGAUGAGCUCGCGGCCUAUCAGCUUGUUGGUGGGGUAAUGGCCUACCAAGGCGGCGACGGGUAGCCGGCCUGAGAGGGUGGACGGCCACGUGGCGACGGAGAGGCGGCCGAGACCGCGGGGGGGAGGAGCAGGUGGAAGUGUGGCGCGGGGGGAGCAGAGCCGAGGCGGCGGCGCGGCGUGGGGGAUGCCGGCCUUCGGGUUGUAACGUCGUUACGGUAGGGGCUGAGUUUUGUGUGACGGUACCUAGAUAAGAACCACCGGCUAACUCCGUUCCAGCCGCCGCGGUAAUAUUGGGACGAGCCCACGUCGGCAC